rnacentral:rRNA from 1 species
CAGCCGCCGCGGGAAUACGUAGGGUGCGAGCGUUAAUCGGAAUUACUGGGCGUAAAGCGUGCGCAGGCGGUUGUGUAAGACAGGUGUGAAAUCCCCGGGCUUAACCUGGGAACUGCGCUUGUGACUGCACAGCUAGAGUAUGGCAGAGGGGGGUGGAAUUCCACGUGUAGCAGUGAAAUGCGUAGAGAUGUGGAGGAACACCGAUGGCGAAGGCAGCCCCCUGGGCCAAUACUGACGCUCAUGCACGAAAGCGUGGGGAGCAAACAGGAUUAGAUACCCGAGUAGUCCCUGUCUCUUAUAC